UACCAGCACCCCGAGUGGUCGGGACGAUUAUUGGGCCUAAAGCAUCCGUAGCCGGUCCUACAAGUCUUCCGUUAAAUCCACCUGCUUAACAGAUGGGCUGCGGAAGAUACUAUAGGGCUAGGAGGCGGGAGAGGCAAGCGGUACUCAGUGGGUAGGGGUAAAAUCCGUCUGAUCCACGUGAAGACCACCAGUGGCGAAGGCGGCUUGCCAGAACGCGCUCGACGGUGAGGGAUGAAAGCUGGGGGAGCAAACCGG
rnacentral:rRNA from 1 species